rnacentral:rRNA from 1 species
GGUGAAUGCUGGCGGCGUGCCUAACACAUGCAAGUCGAGCGGCAGCGAGUUUUACACUGAAUUCUGGAAGCUUCUGAGUAGUACAGAAGAUUUAUUCAAGAGUUUUGUGUAAAAUGUCGGCGAGCGGCGGACGGCUGAGUAACGCGUAGGAAUUUGCCCCAAAGUGAGGAAUAACUGCCCGAAAGGGUAGCUAAUGCCGCAUAUGGUCUUCGGAUUAAAGCCUUCGGGCGCUUUGGGAGAAGCCUGCGUUGGAUUAGGUAGUUGGUAGGGUAAUGGCCUACCAAGCCGACGAUCCAUAGCUGGUCUGAGAGGAUGAUCAGCCAGACUGGAACUGAGACACGGUCCAGACUCCUACGGGAGGCAGCAGUGAGGAAUCUUCCACAAUGGGCGAAAGCCUGAUGGAGCAACGCCGCGUGAAGGAUGAAGGCCUUCGGGUUGUAAACUUCUUUUAUGAGUGAAGAAUAUGACGGUAACUCAUGAAUAAGCACCGGCUAACUACGUG